rnacentral:rRNA from 1 species
GAUGAACGCUGGCGGCGUGCCUAAUACAUGCCAGUCGAGCGGACGGACGAGAAUCGUGCUGCUCUGAUGUUAGCGGCGGACGGGUGAUUAACCCGUGGGUAACCUACCUAUAGGGCUGGGAUAACGUCGGGAAACCUGAUCUAAUACCGGAUAAUAGUGUGAACCGCAUGGUUCAAAAGUGAAAGACGGUCUUGCUGUCACUUAGAGGUAGUUCCUCGCUGGAUUAGCUAGUUGGUAAGGUAACGGCUUACCAAGGCAACGAUGCAUAGCCGACCUGAGAGGGUGAUCGGCCACACUGGAACUGAGACACGGCCCAGACUCCUACGGGAGGCAGCAGUAGGGAAUUUUCCGCAAUGGGCGCAACCCUGACGGAGCAACGCCGCGUGAGUGAUGAAGGCCUUCGGAUCGUAAACCUCUGUUAUUCGGGAAGAAAAUAUGUGUAAGUAACUGUGCACAUCUUGACGGUACCUAAACAGAAAGCAACGGCUAACUACGUG